UACGUAGGGGGCAAGCGUUGUCCGGAUUUAUUGGGCGUAAAGAGCGUGUAGGCGGCCAGGUAGGUCUGCUGUGAAAACUCGAGGCUCAACCUCGAGAUGUCGGCGGAAACCAUCUGGCUAGAGUCCGGAAGAGGAGAAUGGAAUUCCCGGUGUAGCGGUGAAAUGCGUAGAGAUCAUGAGGAAGACCAGUGGCGAAGGCGGGUCUCUGGACAGUUCCUGACACUGAGACACGAAGGCCAGGGGAGCAAACGGG
rnacentral:rRNA from 1 species